GUAUUUAGCUCUUCCCCCUCCCCCUUUUUUUUAACAGAAGAAGAAACUGAAGUUAAGGGGCGUUAAGCGACUCGCUGUAGAUGACACAGCCAAGGAGAUAGAAGUGGGGGGAGGUCAAGGAUGAAGUGGCAGCUCCGGGAGGCUCAGUCCCCGCGGACCCUGGGGCCUGCGGAGCGGAGCUGUCAAGGGAGAGGCACCUGGUCCCUGCUGGCGCUGCCAGGUGGGGUCGGGGAGCGGAUGGAGAAUCGCUCCGGCAGGCAGGUUCGCUAGGCUGGUGUCGGGCGGCCAGGCUGCCCUCGGCCGGCCAGACCGCGUUUCCCUGAUCGGCCACCAGGUGGCGCCGCCCGACCGCGCGGGCCUGCUCUCCGGGGCCGGCAGGUGGCGCGUCCUCUGCUCCGCUCCCGGCCGCUCCACCUCCUCGUGCCUCAGAGGACCGGGCCUCUGGGAGCGGAUGUCUCCCGCUGUGGUCCCCCGGGAAGAGGAGCAUCAGACCACCCUCUUCCUCUGUGACGCUCUGAGAGGGGACCUCUGACUUCUGUCCUCGCCGCGGUCCCCGAGGAGGAGGCUCCUCGGACCUUCCUUCCCAGGGGUGGACACGGGGGAAGGGGCACCUCGGACCCACGUCCAGCGAGCAGCCCUCUCAAGAGGGCGCUUCGGACUCUUGUCCUCACCAUGGCCCUGCGAGAGGGGGCGCCUUGGACCGCUGUCCCCAAUCCUUCAAAUUUCAUGUCCUGCCAAGCUCCUGCCAGUGCCUGAAAUGUUACCACUUGAGCCUCUUGACAGGUGGUGUCCUGUCAAUAACUCCCCCGUUCGCUCGCCUUCACCCUGGGCGCUUCCUUCUCCGAUCCAUCGGCCUCACUCCGAAGGGCAGGGCUUUUCGGCAGAGGGUCUGGAGCUUGCAAGAAAGACCUAGUAGCUUCUACAAUGCAGAGGUCCAGCCACGCUUCCAUCAGGCACUGAUCCCCUCCUGCCACCUCAGCCUCUGCACACACGGUGAAUAAGCUCAGGUUGGAGUCACAAGGAACAAGAUCCACGCCCUGGUUUCUGCCAGGUGCUAGGACUGCCCCUGUCCAGAGAUGCCCAGACAGAAGGUGACUGACAGAAAGGGUCAAGAGCAAGGCAGUCGGAUGCCAGCCCAGAAACUUCCCCCGGAGCACCUCUCAAUGCCGUUCUGACCGGGAAGCCGCGUUGUGGCUAAGUGGUUAAGACUUUUGCCUGUGGAGACAGGCUGCCUGGCCAGCCUCGAAUCUUGAGAACUUUGAAGUUGACUUGGAUGUGGGACAACAAAGGCGCCUCCAUCUUGGAUGCAAAUUGU
rnacentral:lncRNA from 1 species